rnacentral:rRNA from 1 species
GGAUGCGAUCAUACCAGCACUAACGGUUCAGAUCCCAUCAGAACUCCGAAGUUAAGCAUGCUUGGGCGAGAGUAGUACUAGGAUGCGUGACCUCCUGGGAAGUCCUAAUGUUGCAUCCCU